rnacentral:rRNA from 1 species
UACGGGAGGCAGCAGUGGGGAAUAUUGCACAAUGGGCGCAAGCCUGAUGCAGCCAUGCCGCGUGUAUGAAGAAGGCCUUCGGGUUGUAAAGUACUUUCAGCAGUGAGGAAGGCGGAGUCGUUAAUAGCGGCCUCGUUUGACGUUAGCUGCAGAAGAAGCACCGGCUAACUCCGUGCCAGCAGCCGCGGUAAUACGGAGGGUGCGAGCGUUAAUCGGAAUUACUGGGCGUAAAGCGCAUGCAGGUGGUUUGUUAAGUCAGAUGUGAAAGCCCGGGGCUCAACCUCGGAAUUGCAUUUGAAACUGGCAGACUAGAGUACUGUAGAGGGGGUAGAAUUUCAGGUGUAGCGGUGAAAUGCGUAGAGAUCUGAAGGAAUACCGGUGGCGAAGGCGGCCCCCUGGACAGAUACUGACACUCAGAUGCGAAAGCGUGGGGAGCAAACAGGAUUAGAUACCCUGGUAG